rnacentral:lncRNA from 1 species
GGAAAACCUGGCAGAUGUAAUGGCUCACUUCUUGAUCCAUAGGGCAUGAGCUUGACAACACAACCACAGUGACCCUGGGGCCACACCCCAACCAGACAGAGGCAUGCCUUGUGGUCCUCUGGUCCCCCAAAUUAUUCCCACUCAUCCUUUGAUGCUCAGUGGGAGCGCAGUGCCCAUAAGCUACCACCCAAGCCAGGCGUCUUAAAGUCCAGGACUUCCUCUACUGAGGCAGCCCAGUGGCAGUCCAUCAGAUGCCGAUGCAAUGAGUAGUGGCCAGAUGGAAGAUACUUUUUAAAAAAUGCAAUUUCCUUUCUAAUGUUAAACUGCCUUAGAGGACAAGCAGAGUGCCAGUGAGUCAGUCCCUGGUUCUGAGUGCCAGGGCUGGGCAAGGGAGGAAAGCUGAAGAGAUCUCAGCGACAGGAACCAGGCAGAUGCCAGAGGCCAAAAGCAGCACAGUCCAAAGGAAGCAUCCAUGUGAACGUCAGGUGGUGAGAUGCAAGUCAGAUUCCAGGCACUGCUGCCACCAGACCCCAAGGCAGACACUGAAAGAGAAGCCCAGGCACUGGGGUUCAAAUGCUGGGACCUCUUUAUAAAUUGCCUGGGGUCAUAGCUGGGUUCAGCCCCGAGGUUUUUUUUCAGAAUCUGAGGGUUUAAACUUUAACUUUUAACUUUCCUAAUCCCCUUCACCUGUAUGUUAGGUAUUUUUUCAACUUUAAAUCAGCAUUAGGGGAAACCUUAUUUUAUAGGCAGUAUGUUUGAACAGAGAAUAAUAAUAGUAUUUCACACUUUACUGGGCUUUAUAUUUAACAAAUCACUUUUCUAUCUCUUCUAUCAUGUGGGUUUCAAAAUUACCUGGUGAGGCGGAAAUGACGACUCCACAGACCAUCAGGCUCCCUGAAGCUUACACCAAAUCCACGAUUGGAGGCCUCCCAGCUUCCCCAUCCUCCCUGGAAACAAGAUUGGCAAUGAUUUCCAGAAACCAGUACUGCAGUGGAAGCAGCCAUCUAUGCACUUGCCACAAUUUUAACCACUAACCAAUAUAUACAAACAAACCUGCAAAGUUGGAAUAUUUUGGCCAAAAUCAUGGUUGUCCACUGCUACUUUCUAGAUCAUCAAAAUGCCCUCUGGUUGCCCAGAUGUUUUAUUCCAGACAGUAUGGUAAUGGUAACUUUUAUGAGACUGAUGCUAUGGAACCAUUUAUGGCCCCAAACAAAUUCAAAAUCUAUGAAGAUUUAUUGUGGAAGUUACAGAUUAGGAAAAGCUGGAGGAAAAUGAAAACAGAGCUUAGUCUAAAUCUUUUCAUAGCCUUUCUAUCAGAGUGAUUGUCGAG